rnacentral:rRNA from 1 species
CGAACGGAAAGGCCCUGCUUGCAGGGUACUCGAGUGGCGAACGGGUGAGUAACACGUGGGUGAUCUGCCCUGCACUUCGGGAUAAGCUUGGGAAACUGGGUCUAAUACCGGAUAGGACCGCACUUUAGUGUGUGUGGUGGAAAGUUUUUUCGGUGUAGGAUGAGCUCGCGGCCUAUCAGCUUGUUGGUGGGGUAAUGGCCUACCAAGGCGGCGACGGGUAGCCGGCCUGAGAGGGUGUACGGCCACAUUGGGACUGAGAUACGGCCCAGACUCCUACGGGAGGCAGCAGUGGGGAAUAUUGCACAAUGGGCGCAAGCCUGAUGCAGCGACGCCGCGUGGGGGAUGAAGGCCUUCGGGUUGUAAACUCCUUUCGCUAGGGACGAAGCUUUGUGUGACGGUACCUAGAUAAGAAGCACCGGCUAACUACGUGCCAGCAGCCGCGGUAAUACGUAGGGUGCGAGCGUUGUCCGGAAUUACUGGGCGUAAAGGGCUCGUAGGUGGUUUGUCGCGUCGUCUGUGAAAUUCUGGGGCUUAACUCCGGGCGUGCAGGCGAUACGGGCAUAACUUGAGUGCUGUAUGGGGUAACUGGGAUUCCUGGUGUAGCGGUGAAAUGCGCAGAUAUCAGGAGGAACACCGAUGGCGAAGGCAGGUUACUGGGCAGUUACUGACGCUGAGGAGCGAAAGCAUGGGUAGCGAACAGGAUUAGA